CGCGAACGGGUGAGUCACACGUGGGUACCACCUCGAUUGACCGGGACACCGGGGAAACUCGGGCUAUACCGGAUGUGCUCUUCUGUCUCAAGACAGUUGAGGAAGGUAGCUUUGGCCUCCGCAUCGAGACGGGCCCGGGCCCAUUAGCUUGUUGGUGGGGUAACGGCUACCAAGGCUGCGAUGGGUAGCUGGUCUGAGAGGACGAUCAGCACACUGGGACUGAGACACGGCCAGACUCCUACGGGAGGCAGCAGUGGGGAAUCUUGCCCAAUUGCGCGANAGCGUGAUGCAGCCAACGCCGCGUGGGGGACAGACGGCCUCUCGGGUUGUAAACCCCUUCAAGUUGGGACGAAGCUUCGUCGGUUCAAUAGCCCGGCUGGAGUGACGGUACCUUCAGGAAGAAGGCCCCGGGAUAACUACGUGCCA
rnacentral:rRNA from 1 species